rnacentral:rRNA from 1 species
AACGAACGCUGGCGGCAGGCUUAACACAUGCAAGUCGAGCGCCCCGCAAGGGGAGCGGCAGACGGGUGAGUAACGCGUGGGAAUGUACCCUUUGCUACGGAACAGCUCCGGGAAACUGGAAUUAAUACCGUAUGUGCCCUUCGGGGGAAAGAUUUAUCGGCAAAGGAUCAGCCCGCGUUGGAUUAGCUAGUUGGUGGGGU